CAUAUACUCCCUCCGUUCAAAAAUACUUGUCAUCAAAAUGGAUAAAAAGAGAUGUAUUUAGAACUAAAAUACGUCUAGAUACAUCCCCUUUUAUACAUUUUAAUGACAAGUAUUUCUGGACGGAGGGAGUAUAAG
rfam:Triticum aestivum genome assembly, contig: Triticum_aestivum_CS42_TGACv1_scaffold_327969_4BS